GAAAAGUUGAACCGGAGGAAACAGUAGCGAAACGAAGAGAGGAACAUAGGAGAAAACAGUUGGAUUUGUUCUCUACUAGUGUUGGUCUGUGGAGAGUUCGGAAGCGAGGUUAUCGUCGAGUUUGUUGUCGAGGUUCUCCGGUCAAAAUCGCGCCUGAUCUGCGUCGAUUUGGUCGUCGAUUUGUCGAGGUUGUCCGCUCGAGGUCGUAGUCGGUGAGUCAAGCUUAACUAAGGUCUGUUUUCUUUUAGUUCUCAAAUUUGGAUCUUCAUUUUGCACUUCAUCUUGUACUGAUUUAUGUCACGCUUGAGUAAAUGUGAAUGUAUUGAUAUGGUCUUGUAUAUUCAAAUAGCUCUUUGGUUUUGGAAACUCUGGAUUCAAAUUUUGCAUAUUCUGCCUAUUUGCUUGUUAAUUGAUUCUUAAACAACAAUAAAUGUAGAAGCCGAAACUUGGAGAGGGACUUCUCUAUUUUAAAUCUCAAUUGAAGGCAUCUUUGUUGGAUGAAUUUGGAAAUAUGUUUCGUUCAGUUGGUUCUCUUCCGUAUGAAGGUUGUACUGUGAAUUUCCAUUUUGCUAUAUGUUCCUUAUAUUGACGGCUCUUAUCCUAUUUUGAUCUACCAUUUUCAUUUUUGAUUA